UAAUACAGAGGGUGCGAGCGUUGUUCGGAAUUACUGGGCGUAAAGCGCGCGCAGGCGGCCCUUUAAGUCCGUCGGUCAAAUGCCGGGGCUCAACCCCGAGCGUGCCGAGGAUACUGGAGGGCUGGAGACACGUAGAGGCAAGCGGAAUUCCGGGUGUAGCGGUGGAAUGCGUAGAGAUCCGGAAGAACACCGGAGGCGAAGGCGGCUUGCUGGGCGUGAUCUGACGCUGAGGCGCGAAAGCGUGGGGAGCGAACAG
rnacentral:rRNA from 1 species